GAUGAACGCUGGCGGCGUGCCUAAUACAUGCAAGUCGAGCGAACAGACGAGGAGCUUGCUCCUUUGACGUUAGCGGCGGACGGGUGAGUAACACGUAUGUAACCUACCUAUCAGACUGGGAUAACUUCGGGAAACCGGAGCUAAUACCGGAUAAUAUUUCGAACCGCAUGGUUCGAUAGUGAAAGAUGGCUUUGCUAUCACUUAUAGAUGGACCUCCGCCGUAUUAGGUAGUUGGUAAGGUAACGGCUUACCAAGGCAACGAUACGUAGCCGACCUGAGAGGGUGAUCGGCCACACUGGAACGUAGACACGGUCCAGACUCCUACGGGAGGCAGCAGUAGGGAAUCUGCCGCAAUGGGCGAAAGCCUGACGGAGCGACGCCGCGUGAGUUAUGAAGGUCUUCGGAUCGUAAAACUCUGUUAUUAGGGAAGAACAAACGUGUAAGUAACUGUGCACGUCUUGACGGUACCUAAUCAGAAAGCAACGGCUAACUACGUG
rnacentral:rRNA from 1 species